UGCAUAUCCAAAAGCGGAGGAAAGGAAACCAACUGGGAUUACCUUAGUAACGGCGAGUGAAGCGGUAAAAGCUCAAAUUUGAAAUCUGGUACUUUCAGUGCCCGAGUUGUAAUUUGUAGAAUUUGUCUUUGAUUAGGUCCUUGUCUAUGUUCCUUGGAACAGGACGUCAUAGAGGGUGAGAAUCCCGUUUGGCGAGGAUACCUUUUCUCUGUAAGACUUUUUCGAAGAGUCGAGUUGUUUGGGAAUGCAGCUCAAAGUGGGUGGUAAAUUCCAUCUAAAGCUAAAUAUUGGCGAGAGACCGAUAGCGAACAAGUACAGUGAUGGAAAGAUGAAAAGAACUUUGAAAAGAGAGUGAAAAAGUACGUGAAAUUGUUGAAAGGGAAGGGCAUUUGAUCAGACAUGGUGUUUUUUGCAUGCACUCGCCUCUCGUGGGCUUGGGCCUCUCAAAAAUUUCACUGGGCCAACAUCAAUUCUGGCAGUAGGAUAAAUCAUUAAGAAUGUAGCUACCUCGGUAGUGUUAUAGCUUAUUGGAAUACUGCUAGCUGGGAUUGAGGACUGCGCUUCGGCAAGGAUGUUGGCAUAAUGGUUAAAUGCCGCCCGUCUUGAAACACGGACCC
rnacentral:rRNA from 1 species